rnacentral:rRNA from 1 species
UACAGGGGGGGCAAGCGUUGUUCGGAAUUACUGGCGUAAAGGGCUUGUAGGUGGCCAAUUAAGUCGGACGUGGAAAUCCCUCAGCUUAACUGGGGAACUGCGUCUGAUACUGGAUGGCUUGAGUUUGGGAGAGGGAUGCGGAAUUCCAGGUGUAGCGGUGAAAUGCGUAGAUAUCUGGAGGAACACCGGUGGCGAAGGCGGCAUCCUGGACCAACACUGACACUGAGGAGCGAAAGCCAGGGGAGCAAACGGG